rnacentral:rRNA from 1 species
UACGAAGGGGGCUAGCGUUGUUCGGAAUUACUGGGCGUAAAGCGCGCGCAGGCGGCUAUCCAAGUCAGUGGUGAAAGCCCGGAGCUCAACUCCGGAACUGCCAUUGAAACUGUUUAGCUUGAGGACGAGGGAGGUGAGUGGAAUUCCCAGUGUAGAGGUGAAAUUCGUAGAUAUUGGGAAGAACACCGGUGGCGAAGGCGGCUCACUGGCUCGUAUCUGACGCUCAGGCGCGAUAGCGUGGGGAUCAAACAGG